UACCAGCACCCCGAGUGGUCGGGACGAUUAUUGGGCCUAAAGCAUCCGUAGCCGGUUCUGCAAGUCCCCCGUUAAAUCCAGCUGCUCAACAGAUGGGCCGCGGAGGAUACUCCAGAGCUAGGAGGCAGGAGAGGCAAGCGGUACUCAGUGGGUAGGGGUAAAAUCCGUUGAUCCAUUGAAGACCACCAGUGGCGAAGGCGGCUUGCCAGAAUGCGCUCGACGGUGAGGGAUGAAAGCUGGGGGGAGCAAACCGG
rnacentral:rRNA from 1 species